GUACACGCUGUGACUAGCAUAUCAAUAAGCGGAGGAAAAGAAACUAACAAGGAUUCCCCUAGUAACGGCGAGUGAAGCGGGAAGAGCUCAAAUUUGAAAUCUUAAAGGGUUUCCCUUUACGAAUUGUAGUUUAAAGAAGUGUUUUCUGUUGAGGUUUUGGUAAAAGUUCUUUGGAAUAGGACUAUUAUAGAGGGUGAGAAUCCCGUAUUUGACCUUUACUUUCAACUUUGUGAUACACUUUCAAAGAGUCGGAUUGUUUGGGAAUGCAGUCCAAAAUGGGUGGUAAAUUUCAUCUAAAGCUAAAUAUUGGCGAGAGACCGAUAGCGAACAAGUACCGUGAGGGAAAGAUGAAAAGAACUUUGAAAAGAGAGUUAAACAGUACGUGAAAUUGUCAAAAGGGAAGCGUUUGACACCAGUGUUGUUUUUCUGAAAAUCAAUUAAAGAACUGUUUAUGCUAAGCUGUUUAGACUUUAUCAGCUAUCUGUUUAGUUUUGAGCUUUUCUUUAAUGCACUUAUCAGUUAACAAGUCAACAUCAAUUUCUUUUGCUGUAAAAAAGCUUGAGGAAGGUGGCUUGAGAUUCGUCUUAAGUGUUUAUAGCCUCUUGCCUAUGCAGUCGGAGAGAUUGAGGUCUGCAGCGUAGAUCCUUCGGGGCUAAAUGCAUUUGUGCUAAGUUAUAGCAUUUUAUAGACAACUUGUUGACUAUGAUUUGUCUUGUAGCUUACUCGCUUAUGUUAUUUUACCUACGCUUAGGAUGUUGAGUCGUAGAGCACGCAG
rnacentral:rRNA from 1 species